UGGGGGCCUCUGCCCACCCCCAUCCAGCCCCACCUUGGACGAAGACGCCCCAGCCGUGAUUAGGAGAAGGCUCACCCUGAAAACGGUCUCAGACAGGGUAUUUGAGGAGAAUUGAAUAAAUGGAAAAUACGUGAAUUAAAGGAGAGCUGUGCAGUACCCAGGGCCAGCAACAAAGGGGAGCUGUUACCCCCUGAGACCUGGAGGGCAGCUGGAGCCACAGGAGAGGCCGUCUCCAGGAGCCCUGACCUUGGAGAGGGACACAGCGACCCGGCAGGGAGGAGCUGCUGCUGUACACUGACCUCACCCCUCCUGACCGCUUGGCUUGUCUACCGGCUACGCAUUGGCUGAACUAGGUGGAGGCCAGGGAGCAACGAGGCCCCAUGGAUCCUGUACCUACAGUCAGCUUCCCGGGGCACAGAGCAGGGGCUGGCAUGGGGCAAUGGGAAGAUGUCCAGCACCUGUUUUGAAGUGUGAAUAAAAGCAUCGUAGAAAAUGUUGCUGUUUUGCUUUGUUUUGUGGAUGUGUAGCCCAUGCAGAGGCAGCCUAAGAUGGGGCACGACCAGGCUGGGCCCCGCCUCUUG
rnacentral:lncRNA from 10 species